rnacentral:rRNA from 1 species
GAGUUUGAUCCUGGCUCAGGACGAACGCUGGCGGCGUGCUUAACACAUGCAAGUCGAACGGAAAGGCCCCUUCGGGGGUGCUCGAGUGGCGAACGGGUGAGUAACACGUGGGUGAUCUGCCCUGCACUUCGGGAUAAGCUUGGGAAACUGGGUCUAAUACCGGAUAGGACCACGCGCUGCAUGGUGUGUGGUGGAAAGUUUUUAAUGGUGUGGGAUGGGCCCGCGGCCUAUCAGCUUGUUGGUGGGGUGAUGGCCUACCAAGGCGACGACGGGUAGCCGGCCUGAGAGGGUGUCCGGCCACACUGGGACUGAGAUACGGCCCAGACUCCUACGGGAGGCAGCAGUGGGGAAUAUUGCACAAUGGGCGAAAGCCUGAUGCAGCGACGCCGCGUGAGGGAUGACGGCCUUCGGGUUGUAAACCUCUUUCAGCAGGGACGAAGCGAAAGUGACGGUACCUGCAGAAGAAGCACCGGCCAACUACGUGCCAGCAGCCGCGGUAAUACGUAGGGUGCAAGCGUUGUCCGGAAUUAUUGGGCGUAAAGAGCUCGUAGGCGGUCUGUCGCGUCGGCUGUGAAAACCUGGGGCUCAACCCCGGGCCUGCAGCCGAUACGGGCAGACUAGAAUUCGGUAGGGGAGACUGGAAUUCCUGGUGCAGCGGUGAAAUGCGCAGAUAUCGGGAGGAACACCGGUGGCGAAGGCGGGUCUCUGGGCCGAUAUUGACGCUGAGGAGCGAAAGCGUGGGGAGCGAACAGGAUUAGAUACCCUGGUAGUCCACGCCGUAAACGUUGGGCGCUAGGUGUGGGCCACAUUCCACGUGGUCUGUGCCGCAGCUAACGCAUUAAGCGCCCCGCCUGGGGAGUACGGCCGCAAGGCUAAAACUCAAAGGAAUUGACGGGGGCCCGCACAAGCGGCGGAGCAUGUGGCUUAAUUUCGAUGCAACGGCGAAGAACCAUUACCUGGGGCUUGACAUGCAGGGCAAAUCUCAUAACA